AGCGAACGCUGGCGGCAGGCCUAACACAUGCAAGUCGAACGAACUCUUCGGAGUUAGUGGCGGACGGCUGAUUACCACGUGGGAACGUGCCUUUUGGUUAGGUAUAACUCAGGUAAACUUGUGCUCAUACCGAAUGUGCUCUUCGGGGGUAAGAUUUAUCGCCAUUAGAGCGGCGCGCGUCUGAUUCGCUAGUUGGUGAGGUAACGGCUAACCAUGGCGAGGAUCAGGAGCUGGUCUGGGAGGAUGACCAACCGCACUGGGAAUAAGACACGGCCCAGCCUGGUACGGGAGGGAGCAGUGGAGAAUCUUGCGCAAUGGGCGAAAGCCUGACGCAGCCAUGCCGCGUAAAUGAUGAAGGUCUUAGGAUUGUAAAAUUCUUUCACCCGGAACGAUAAUGACGGUACCCGGAGAAGAAGCCCCGGCUAACUUCGUG
rnacentral:rRNA from 1 species